rnacentral:tRNA from 1 species
GCCUCCGUAGCUUAAAAUAAAGCACUG